GUACUUGUUAUCAGAAUAUAAGGCCCCAGGGGCAGCUUGGCAAAUGCUAAUGAGGGCAUUUGUAUAACCUACCUUAUAUAUGUUGUUUACGCCAGUAGCUCAUUCUCAGUCGUGACAUUUAGUCGUUCAAAACACUUCGAGCAUCACUGAUGCCUCGUUUAAUUCCUCUUGAAUCUGGAUCAUCUAUUUCAAACGUUGACUCAAUGGCGUUUGUUUCCUCAUCGACUGUGCCCGAAGUGUCACAAUCGUUGCAGAGUUCGUCAGAUAAUAUCGUUUACUCGAUCGCUGAAAAUAACAGUAUUUUAGCUCCAGUUUAUCCAUCUUAUGGCGCAGCAGUUUCGUCUACAAGAUCAUUGCCAAAUACUAUGUCGUCGUGGGACGUUAGUUUACCGUCGACUUCGCCGUUCCUGUCUCGUUUGGGUUCGAAUUUAUCGGCUCCUUCUACAUUCCCGACAUCAGUACCAGAAGGGCCACUCAGCGGUGCAACGUGUAGUCAUUUUAUUACGCAAAAAUAUGCAGUUGACUGGCCAGAAGGCGGGGCCUCAAGCCAAUACAGCGCGUUUAUUGGCCAGAAAAUGUAAUCGACUGGCUAGAAAGAUGGCGGCCAGUGCCACAGAAACUUCAGCUUCCGACGUAAGCGGCCCUUCUGUGUGGAUUUUUAUUCUGUGGUGUCGUUCCCAGGCCCUUUGCAGAGCGCGG